UCCUAGAAAGGGCAAACCUGGCGAAAGCCAGGGACGCAAAGCUACGGGUCUAAAGCUUUCAGGCGAAAGCCAGGACCGCCGGGCCGCCACU
rnacentral:ncRNA from 1 species